UACACUCCUGCGGGAGGCAGCAGUGGGGAAUUUUGGACAAUGGGCGAAAGCCUGAUCCAGCAAUGCCGCGUGCAGGAUGAAGGCCUUCGGGUUGUAAACUGCUUUUGUACGGAACGAAAAAGCUCCUUCUAAUACAGGGGGCCCAUGACGGUACCGUAAGAAUAAGCACCGGCUAACUACGUGCCAGCAGCCGCGGUAAUACGUAGGGUGCGAGCGUUAAUCGGAAUUACUGGGCGUAAAGCGUGCGCAGGCGGUUAUGUAAGACAGAUGUGAAAUCCCCGGGCUCAACCUGGGAACUGCAUUUGUGACUGCAUGGCUAGAGUACGGUAGAGGGGGAUGGAAUUCCGCGUGUAGCAGUGAAAUGCGUAGAUAUGCGGAGGAACACCGAUGGCGAAGGCAAUCCCCUGGACCUGUACUGACGCUCAUGCACGAAAGCGUGGGGAGCAAACAGGAUUAGAUACCCCUGUAGUCCCAU
rnacentral:rRNA from 1 species